AAUAGAUAGAUGAGGAAAUAAUUUUCCUUCACUAUCAUUUGAACUUUAAAUAUGGUUGUGAAAUGGAAUUAUUUGAUUAAAUUCGCAUUUUUAAUUAGAUGGUUGUUUAGUGGGCCGGUCUUGGUAAGCAGGAUUGGUAAUGCGGGAUGAACCGAACGCAUAAAUAAGAUGCCAAAAUAUAUGUUAAUAGAUACCACAAAGGAUGUAAAAUAAUAGAGACAGAAGGAAAGUGGUCAUGGAAGUCGAAAUCUUCUAAGGAGUGUGUAAAAACUCACCUUUCGAAUUAUUUUACUCCGAAAAUGGAUGGCGCUAAAACAUAUUAUCGAUAUUAUGCUGGAGGAGCACGUCAAGUAAUUGUACGCUUCUCCAAGUAAGAAGACAUGAUGAUUAUUGCGAAGAAUAGUUGUAAAACUAUUUGGAAUAGUCAUUAGUGCAGAUCUAAGUGCAAGUAGCAAUCAGAGAUAAAAAUACAUAACACUAAAGCAAUGAUUAUCUCAUCUGACGAGGAC
rnacentral:rRNA from 1 species